GAUCUUCUUGUUAAAGUAGUUGCAAUGAAUUAAUUUAUUUUUAGAGAAUUGUUGCAGAAAUAUAGUUCAAUUCAGCAAAUAUAUCAAUCCAGGGCCGGUUUUGGGCCUCCGUAGGGCCCCAAAACCAAAGGGGCCAUUAAAAAAAAAAAAAAAAAAAAAGCAUUAAAAUCAAAUCUAGAAACUUCCUUCUCCUUAGCUAUAUUUAAUGGCAGAUUGGCAGUCAACAAUAUGCUCCUAGUUUACUCCGUCAAUUUAGCUUCCUAAAUUUUAACAAAAAGAUUCAAUUUUCCAUUUUACAAAUCUUUACCUUCCUUUAAUUUCUCCAUUUUUUUUUUAAAAAAAACCCUCUAAUUACUCUCUUUUCUUGCAAUUCCCACAAAAAUAUCAAACCUUCCAUAUUCUUCAUUUUUAUUUCUGUAAUUGAUAAUGGAGCAAUUAAAUCGAUUUUUUCCUCAUUUAAAUUUCAUUUCAACGGUUAAAAUUUUCAAUCCAAUAUAUACUCCUACCAAAUUUUUAUCUUUUCAUAAAAAAUUAUUGAUCAAUUUUGUUCUUAAGGGAAAAAAAGUUAGAUUGAUUUGGCCUUACAAAUCAGCAAAGUUUUAUAAUUGUCCGAAAGAUUGAUACAAUUUUAUUGUUGGAGUCUUGGAGAAAAUUAAUGGAAGCUUUCAUCUUCACUGUUCAACUGCUCAAAAUCUGGAAAAAGCAGUAAGAUUUUUUACACUAGAUAAAUCACCUUCAACUGGGCAAUUAGAGGUUGAGUGUUAGAAGGAUGGCUCUUUUUAAGUAGUAGUUUGAUACUAAGAUGUAAUUUAUAAGUUUGAUAAAGGAGUUUGAUUUAUUUUAAUAAGUUUGUUUAAUAAAAGAGUUUGAAAUAUAUAUAGUACGAAUUUACGUUGGUUUUUUUAUAAUA